rnacentral:lncRNA from 1 species
UUUUUCUGUUUCCUAAAGAGUUGUAGUUUGUUAGGAAAGUUAGAGAUAGAGUUGGAUUUCGGACUCCUUAUUCAAGGUGGACGAAAAUAUCUCUCCCUCCUCCUUUAUAUACCCCAUGAGCCCCCCUAAGGAGCCUUGGGUUUUGUUUAGUUAAAAGUUAGCCAUCGCUACUACUUCGUGUAAUCGCGUGUGUCGGUUAGACCACCUGUUUUACCGCUUUCGGAACCCCAACUUAUCGUCUCCUUGAGACAUUGGUUUGAUAUAGUAUAUUCGCAAUUUUAGAUUGCAUCCGCUAUUUAUCUUGUUCUUGCUUGUUCUUCGAUUGCUUGCAGGAACAAAGACCUUCGUGGUCAGAUUGAUCGUGCCCCCGCGUGAUCAAUAACCCUCUGGAGUUGGUGUAUCGAUUGCUAAGGCGCUGCCUCCUAGGCCGUAGUCGGAUCGUCAACGUCACCUCCUACACAAAUCGAGAGUUAUCAAUCUCAUCGAAAGAUCGGGCCACCCGCACCCGUAUCACGUGGUAUCACACCACCGCCAUAAUCUUCCGCCGCCACCAUAUCUUCCACCGAGUCCCUCUUCGAGUCCUACACCGAGUCCCUCUUCGAGUCCUACACCGAGUCCUUCUUCCAGUCCUACACCGAGUCCCUCGUCGAGUCCUACAUCGAGUCGGCAAGUUAUAGUUUUCAGCCGCGAGUUCGAGUCCGAGUCCAAUCAAGAGUGCUUUUGGAAAGUGUUUCAUAAUAGAUCGAAUUUCUUUUAGAGAUCAAGUUGUUCGGAAAGUUGUGAAAAAAAAAAGAAGGGAAAGAAGAAGAAAAAGGAAGAAAGAAAGAAAAAAAAACGAAAAAAAAAGAGAGAAAGAGUUCGAGUCAGUUUCGGACCCGAGUCCCAGUAGAAUUUUAGUUUCGGGUGGGUUUGACCCGUGUUCAGUAAAGCGGACGUAUCUUUUGCAUACCAACUCGGAUUUGGACGUUCUUUGACUUUUUGGAAAGCUCACGACGAGGCGCAUCAGGAAAUAUCCAGGGCGCUGCCCUGCACUUUGACCCUCAAAUUCGGUUUGUAAGGUGGACUUUUGAAGCUUCCAAGUUUCUGCAUCCGUUUUCCGGCGUCGCUGCAGCCCGGUGUUUCUCAGUUUUCUCCCAGUCCGACAUCCGUUUUGAGUGAUCUUGCCCUUGCUAGAAAACUUGUGUCGAUACGCUUCUAACCCAUAUUUUUCCAUAUUUUUCUGAAUUUUUCUUACUACAGCCUUUGCUGUUCUUCGACAGACCGACGUACAGUUUUCCGGUCCUUCUUUUGGAUGAGUUUCUGGGGUUAAAAAAAAAGAAAAAAAAAAGAAGAAGAAAAGAAUAAGAAGCCAAACAGAAGGCCACAAAAAGAAAAAGAAGAAAAAAAUCCCAGGGAUUUACUUGUUGUGCCAUCUUUUGAUCUUUCUAUCCUAUCUUCUUCAGUAUCUAGGCUUAGAUUAUUUCUGUAAUUCGUUCUUAUCGACUCCAGCAGCUAGGACUAGCAUUAUUGAGCAUAUUUUCAACUUUGCAUUGCUGAUUUGAUUAUUUGCUAUUCCUUGCUACUCACAAAAGCCUCUAAGCUCCACAGAUUCUACACCUAGGUUGGUUUGUUACCGAGGCAUCGAUACAUUUAAUCUCCGGAGGUGUUGGUUACGCCGCUGGCCAUCACCUUCUUGUUUUGCAUGGUAAGAACUUGUAAGAACUUGAUUUUUAGCUUGAGAGUUGAGCGACUUGUAGCCACAUCCUAGUAGUUGAUAGGAACAUAUUACUGUGUUUUGUUUCUUGUUUUCUACUAACCAUGACAGGACUUACACGAAGCAUGGCAACUAGACCGAUGCUAUCCCGUUACCGCGAUGAGUGCUUUUCACCACGGCCAUCUUCCACGUCUCUUGUUGAUAAUGCCACGGCAACGGUACAAAACAAUCCUUCUAAUACAAUUAAAUUGUGUGUACCUUUCUUUGAGGGGGAAAAUGAUGCUGAAACGUAUAUAGAUUGGGAGCUAGCUUUAACUGAACAGUUCACAUGCUUCGAUGUACUAGAUAGUCGUAAGGUUCAAAUUGCUAGUAGUAAAUUUACUUUUGCUGCUUUAUCUUGGUGGAAUGAGAUAGUUAGAGAAAAGAAAAUUCCCCACACUUGGGUUGAUAUGAAGAAAAUCAUGAGAGAAAAAUAUGUCCCUUUUAGUUAUGCUUUUAACUUGCGUUCAAAAUUACGACGUUUGGCACAAGAUGAUAAAACUGUUGAUGAUUACUACAAUGAGUUCCAAAUUAUAACCUUGCGAUCUGGUUUAGAUGAAACCGACCAAAGAAAAAUGGAUAGGUUUUAUUGUGGGCUUAACUUUGAUAUUUCUUACAUGAUUGAAUAUGGAAAAUACGACUCUCUUUUGUGUUUGCUUAAUCUUGCUCGUAAAGUUGAGAGGAAAUUACAGCGAGGGUCUACUACAAAUGAGUCGAGCCCACAAGGUAGUGAUACAGAGGAUUGUGUUGCUGAACUAAAAAGGGCAUGUGAUGAAAUAAAUGUGAUACCUGUUGAAUUUUCUGCACCAUGUGAAAUUAUUGUCGUACAUGGUGAUUCAAGUGCACCUACUACUGAAAUUAAUUCUUCUAAUGAUUUGAGUGCACAAAUUGAUUUUGAUAUUGAUGAGAACGAACCAUGUGAGGAAAUAACUAAUGUUUUGGGAGAAACAAGUGAGAUAGAUAAAUUUGAUUUAGGUUGUGUCGAGUUGAUUAGACAUGGAGUGAUUGAUAAGGAUCCACCUAUUAAUUCUUUGUGUUAUAUUACAGUUGAUACACCUAUAUAUUUGUCACAUGCAAUGGAUAAAGUUUCUGAGUUAACAAUUUCAAAAUCUUUUGCUAAUGCCCAUGGAUACACUAUUCAAUUAAUUGGAGAACAUGAUGUCAACAAUAAAGUUUUGGUGCAUCAGAUUUGCAUUGCUUGUGAUAACUUUCUUGAUUUGAGAGACAACAAUAUUUUGUGUAUGCUCAAUCAUUUUGAUAUGACCUCUAAUAUUGGUGAUAGUUGUACGACAAAUAACUUAUGGCAUGAUUGCACAUUGACGCAUAUUGUAGCUCGCCAUUUGGGAAUUCUGAAUUAUUGUUCACCUACAUUAGGAUCGUUUAAUGAUGAGAAUUACAAAUUAAAAUGUGAUACUUGCUGUUGGAAUAUGACUAUUAAUUUUUUGCACUAUUAUGAGUUUUAUUUACGUGAAACAUCGAAUGUGCAGCAUGGGAGUGGAGUUAAAAUUGAUGACAUAUACAUAUACCAUGCACACACUUUGUCUAUUUUGUCAGUCUCUUUUCAGCACAAACGACGCCGAGGACGGCUUUUCUUUCAAGAAAGGGAGGAUGAUAUGGACAUGAUCACCAUGGAUACGACCAUUAGAACCCUAAUUGUUGGUGUAUCUAAUAACAAUUAUAAUCAGGUGAAUUCAAUUACAAAAUGUUUUCAAUAUGUUACUUGCAAUGAGGCGGAGCUACUAUCUUGUGUAAUCUUAUUAUGUAGGCAUCUUAAUGAACUUUACAAAUCCAAAGUGAAGAUGAAGUGUGAUAGCCUGCAAAGGGAGAUUCAAAGUGAAGCCUAUCAAGUCUACUUUCCAAGAAAUCAAACGGCACAUGAUUCGGAGCUUGCUAGAGAAAGACAUCACGAAUGAAAGUGAAAUCCGAUUCGGGUCCGAGCUGCCAGGAGACCCGAAUUUGUUUUAAUCACCCAGGCCGCAUCCGGAGUCCAAAUCAAGCAAACAAGUACUUGUUGGAAAGGUAAUUACAAGACCUUCCCAACGGAUCUGGCCCCAUCAAGAGAUUCGACUCGUGCUGACCGUGGCGGACAAAACAAGCUGACGGAUCUGUUUUUCUGUUUCCUAAAGAGUUGUAGUUUGUUAGGAAAGUUAGAGAUAGAGUUGGAUUUCGGACUCCUUAUUCAAGGUGGACGAAAAUAUCUCUCCCUCCUCCUUUAUAUACCCCAUGAGCCCCCCUAAGGAGCCUUGGGUUUUGUUUAGUUAAAAGUUAGCCAUCGCUACUACUUCGUGUAAUCGCGUGUGUCGGUUAGACCACCUGUUUUACCGCUUUCGGAACCCCAACUUAUCGUCUCCUUGAGACAUUGGUUUGAUAUAGUAUAUUCGCAAUUUUAGAUUGCAUCCGCUAUUUAUCUUGUUCUUGCUUGUUCUUCGAUUGCUUGCAGGAACAAAGACCUUCGUGGUCAGGUUGAUCGUGCCCCCGCGUGAUCAAUAACCCUCUGGAGUUGGUGUAUCGAUUGCUAAGGCGCUGCCUCCUAGGCCGUAGUCGGAUCGUCAACGUCACCUCCUACACAAAUCGAGAGUUAUCAAUCUCAUCGAAAGAUCGGGCCACCCGCACCCGUAUCACGACUGGUGCUGGGUCUGAGUGGAGCACCCCAUGCAAGCGAACAAUUUCACAAAAGAUACUAUAGUAUUGGGCACACCAUGCAAGCGAACAAUUUCACAAAAGAAUAAAUCAGCAACAUUUGUAGCAUCAUCGCUCUUAUGACAAGGUAUAAAAUGUGCCAUCUUAGAAAAUCUAUCAACAACAACAAAUAUGCUAUCCCUCCCCUUCUUAGUUCGAGGCAAUCCCAAAACAAAAUCCAUUGAUAUAUCUUCCCAAGGAACAUUAGGAACAGGGAGAGGCAUAUAUAAACCAUGAGGAUUGAGUCGUGACUUAGCUUUUUGACAUGUAGUGCAACGAGCGAUAAAUCUCUCAACAUCCCGUCUCAUCCGAGGCCAAAAGAAAUGAUCAGCGAGCACAUCUUCGGUCUUCUUCACGCCGAAGUGACCCAUCAACCCUCCUCCAUGUGCCUCCUGUAACAACAAAAGACGAACGGAGCUAUCUGGGAUGCAUAGCUUGUUAGCACGGAACACAAAUCCAUCAUUAAUGACGAACUUGUUCCAUGUUCUGCCCUCUUUACAAUGCUGCAAAACAUCCUUAAAAUCUGCAUCAUGUUCGUAUUGUUCUUUUAUAGUCUCCAAUCCAAAUAUCCGAAAAUCAAGCUGAGAUAACAAGGUAUAACGACGUGGUAACGCAUCAGCAAUAACAUUAUCUUUACCCUUCUUAUGUUUAAUAACAUACGGAAAAGACUCAAUAAAUUCAACCCAUUUAGCAUGACGACGGUUCAGCUUUGCUUGACUACGAAUAUGCUUCAAAGAUUCAUGAUCAGAAUGUAUAACAAAUUCUUUGGGCCAUAAAUAAUGUUGCCAUGUUUCUAAAGUCCGAACGAGAGCAUAUAAUUCCUUAUCAUAAGUAGAAUAAUUCAGACUAGGCCCACUCAAUUUUUCACUAAAGUAUGCAACAGGUUUUCCGUCUUGUAACAACACACCUCCUAAACCGAUUCCACUAGCAUCACACUCCAACUCAAAAGUCUUAUUAAAAUCAGGAAGUUGGAGUAAAGGAGCAUGUGUCAACUUAUCUUUCAAUAUGAGAAAAGCUUCUUCUUGUGCAGCGCCCCAUACAUAUGGAACGUCCUUCUUUGUGAGCUCAUUAAGCGGUGCAGUAAGGGUGCUGAAAUCCUUUACAAAGCGGCGAUAAAACCCAGCGAGUCCAAGAAAGCUCCUCACUUGGGUGACCGUUGUUGGAGUUGGCCAGCUUUGAAUAGCGUCGAUCUUGGCCUUAUCAACUUCUAUGCCCUGUGGAGUGACAACAUAGCCAAGAAACGAAACUCGAUCGGUGCAAAAGGUGCACUUCUCAAGGUUACCAAACAAACGUGCAUCUCUCAAAGCAUCAAAAACAGCACGUAAAUGAUUCAAGUGGUCUUCUAAAGAGCUGCUGUAAAUCAAUAUAUCGUCAAAAUAAACCACCACAAAUCGUCCUAUGAAAGCACGUAAAACUUCGUUCAUUAACCGCAUGAAAGUGCUAGGUGCGUUAGUAAGACCGAAAGGAAUGAGUAACCACUCAUAUAGUCCAAACUUAGUUUUAAAUGCUGUUUUCCGUUCAUCGUCUAAUUUCAUUCGAAUUUGGUGGUAACCACUACGUAAAUCAACUUUAGAGAACACGGUAGAGCCACUUAAUUCAUCUAACAUAUCAUCAAGUCUAGGAAUUGGGUGACGAUAGCGAAUAGUAAUGUUAUUAAUAGCUCUACAAUCUACACACAUACGCCAAGAACCAUCUUUCUUUGGUACCAAAAUAACAGGAACAGCACAAGGACUAAGGGAUUCACGAAUAUAACCUUUGUCGAGCAAUUCUUGAAGUUGUCGUUGAAUCUCCUUCGUCUCCUCUGGAUUGGUACGGUAGGGCGCACGGUUGGGCAGCGAAGCACCAGGAAUUAAAUCAAUUUGAUGUUCAAUCCCUCGAAUAGGUGGUAAUCCUGGUGGUACGUCUUGUGGAAAGAUGUCGGAAUACUCCUGCAAAACGUGAGUAACAGCAGGGGGCAAAUAGGGAGGCAUAUCCUCAAAUGAAAACAAAGCCUCUUUGCAAAUGAAUGCAUAGCAAACAGAAUUAUUCGUAUCUAACUCAGAAAUAUCGGAUUUACUUGCAAGCAAGCAUGCACCUUUCAAUUUAAUUUCAUUAACAUGUUUCGGUUCAGAUUUGCUAGUAGACGCUUGGUGCUUAAAUUCCUUAGUGACAUUAUGGUUCUCACUCUUAUCUUUCUCUUUGCUCUUUGCUCUACUAGCUCUAGCAAGAUCAUCUUUCACAAUUUGUUCAGGACUCAUAGGUUUCAAACCAAUUUUCUUACCAGCAUGCAUAAAAGAAUAAUGAUUAGUUCUACCAUGAUGAACAGAAUCUGUAUCAUAUUGCCAUGGACGACCGAGUAACAUAGAACAUGCUUGCAUAGGUACCACAUCACAAUCCACAAAAUCAGAAUAUGUACCAAUAGUAAAGUGUGCACGGACUGUUCUAGUUACCUUGAGCUUACCGCUGUUGUUAAACCAUUGAAGGUGGGGGUGCGGCCUGGUGGUAAGAACAAGUUUUUCCACCAUCUCCGUGCUGGCCAAAUUAUUGCAACUUCCCCCAUCUAUGAUGAUACGAACAGCGCGCUCCUUGAUGACCCCUUUUGUUUGGAACAAGUUAUGCCGUUGAUUUUGUUCGGCGUGGCUCAUUUGGACGCUCAAGGUGCGUUGUGCAAUCAAACUCAAGUACUAAUCAGCGGCUUCAGCUCCCAUUAACUCCUCGUCAUGGUGGGCAGCGGGGUCUUCUUGCUCUUCCUCGGCAAUGAGAGCAUAGGUAGCUCCGUCAAAAUCACUGGCUGAAUCAUAUACUCCGUCUUCACGUAUGAUCAUAACGCGUUUGGUUGGACAGUCCCGCUGAAAAUGCCCGUAUCCUUUGCACCUACGACAUUGGUUAUCUCCGGUCCGUCCGGUGGAAGCAACGGACGCUGCUGAACUUUGUGCAGAGGCAGCGGGUGUAUUUCUUGUUGCUGCUGGUCCAACCUUUGCGGAUGUAGGUGCAGAGGUACUUUGCUUGUUGGUGGAAGUAGUCGGAACAGCCGGACGUGUAGAGGGUGCAGCUGGGCGUGUGGAAGGGGCAGCGGGGCUGCGUGCUGCCCAUGAGGAAGUACGACCUGCAGAAAAGUUAGUCCGCGCGUUCGCGUGUCGUCCCUACACUUCCCUUUCACCUUUGCAAGCAAUGUGAAACAAUCGAUUGAUAGAAUUAUACUCCUUAUAAUCAACAAUGUCAGCAAUUUCACGAUUUAAACCACCAAAGAAUCUAGCCAUAGCAGCUUCCUCAUUCUCAACUAAACCACAACGUAACAUGUUCUUUUGCAUUUCUUGAUAAUAAUCUUGGACAGAAUUACUACCUUGCCUUAAUUGUUGUAGUUUCUUUAACAAGUCACGCGAAUAGUAUGAAGGAAAAUAUCUAGCGCGCAUAAUUCUUUUCAAAUCAUCCCAUGUUGGUGGUAUAGCGUUAGGAUGUGCAAUACAAUACUCAUGCCACCAAACAGAAGCAAAAUCAGUAAACUCACUAGUAGCAGCCCUAACCCUUUUAUUAGCAGGAAAAUCAUGGCAAGUAAAUUUUUGACUCAAUUCUAAUUCCCAUGUAAGGUAAGCAUCAGGCUCAUAUUUUCCAUCAAAAGGAGGAACCUUAAGUUUAAUAGAAUGCAGCGAGUCAUGUUCCUCUCUGUGAGGUCGUGUCGGUCCCAUACCUCGGCGGUUGAAACGAGUUCGGCGAUGAUCACGGUCGUUGUGAUGGUUUACGGCCCCGUCGUGUUCCGUAUCCGCGGAGUAGUCGUCGUCGUUCUCCUCAACCUCGCUUGCGAAGGUACCCUUAUUAGCGGUCCGCUGGUUGUGUGUAUUGUUUCCUCCCGGUGUAGCGAUGGUCGUUGCAGCAAUUGCCGCCAGUUGCGUCGUGAUUUCUGCCAGAGAAGUACUAAUGGUAGCAACAGAAUUCUGUAAAGAUGUUAGCUUGGUAUUUGUUUCAAUGUGCGUGCUCUCCAAGGUUCCAAGUCUCUCAUUCGCAACCCGAACGUCCUCAUCUAGCUCCUCGUUACGGAGCCUAAGCUUGCGAUCAAAAUGUGAAAUAAUGCCCUUUGUGUGUGGAGAGUGGCCUUGUAAAUCAUCGUCAAAACCUGCCAUCGUUAGGAGAAAACAAGAAACAAAUCACAAGGAAAAGUACCUAUGCACUACUAGGAUGUGGGGUUCCAAAGAUCACUCCACUCAACUUUUAAUCAAGUUCUUACUCGUUCUUACCCAGCAAACAGGAAGGUGAUGGCCAGCGGCAAGAACAAGCCCUCCGAAGAUUAGUGUAUCGAUGCCUCGAGGCAAACCAACCUAGGUGUAGAAUCUGUGGAGCUUGGAGGCUUAUGUGAGUAGCAAGGAAAAGCGAAUAAUCAAAUCAGCAAUGCAAAGUUGAAAAUAUGCUCAAAAAUGCUAGUCCUAGUUGCUGGAGUCGACAAGAACGAAUUACAGAAAUUAACUAAGCCUAGAUACUGAAAAAGGUAGAAAGGAAAGAUCAAAUGAAAGGUAAAACAAGUAAAUCUCUAGGGAAUAUUUUUUUUCUCUUUUUUUUUCUUUUUGUGGCCUUCUGUUUGGCUUCUUAUUCUUUUCUAUUUUUUUUUAUCCCCAGAAACUCACGCAAAAGAAGUUAAGACCGGAAAGCUACACGUCGGUCUGUAGGAGAAUAGCAAAGGCUGUAGUAAGGAAAACUCAGAAAAAUAUGAGAAAAUAUGGGUUAGAAGCGUAUCAAAACAAGCUUUCCAACAAGUGCAAGAUCACUCGAAACGGAGGUCGGACGGUGGAGAAAACUGAGAUAUACUGCGCUGCCCCGGUGCCGUAAAACGGGUGCAGAAACUUUGGAGCUCGAAAAGUCCACCUUAGAUGCCGAAUUUGAGGGUCAAAGUGCAGGGCGCCGCCCUGGAUAUUUCCUGAUGUGCCUCGUCGUGAGCUUUCCAAAAAGUUGGUAUGCAAAAGAUACGUCCGUUUUACUGAACACCGGUCAAACCCACCCGAAACUAAAAUUCUACUCGGACUCGGGUCCGACACUGACUCGAACUCUUUCUCUUCUUUUUUCGUUUUUUUUUUCUUUCUUUCUUCCUUUUUUUUUUCUUUCCCUUCUUUUUUUUUCACAACUUUCCGAACAACUUGAUCUCUAAACAAAAUUCGAUCUAUUAUGAAACACUUUCCAAAAGCACUCUUGAUUGGACUCGGACUCGAACUCGCGGCUGAAAACUAUAACUUGCCGACUCGAUGUAGAACUCGACGAGGGACUCGGUGUAGGACUCGAAGAGGGACUCGGUGUAGGACUGGAAGAAGGACUCGGUGUAGAACUCGAAGAGGGACUCGGUGGAAGAUAUGGUGGCGGCGGAAGAUUAUGGCGGUGGUGUGGCAGGAAGUUUGGCGGCGGAAGAUUGAUGAAGGAAAUCUGCGUCACACGAAGAACAAGAAAACCAAAAGCAAGUUCGAUCUAGUAGAAAAAAUCUGAAAAACGAUCCAAUCUAAUCCAGCAACUCGACACGAUUAAUGCAGCAAAGAUUCAACAAUGCAAAUACUAAUGUGAAAAUUGCAAGGCUCAGAUUGGUUCUCGGACAAGGUAACUGAUUCUAAUUUUUGUUUGGCUUUUUCUGGACGAUAGGUAAAAACAGAUCUAAACUACGGAUAAACUGGAAAAAUCUCACCGAGCAACCUUAAGCUCUGAUACCACGUGAUAGCCUCGAGGGUGUCCCGAUCUUUCGAUGAGAUACCUAAUUAUCGAUUUGGUAGGAGGUGACGUUGACGAUCCGACUACAACCUAGGAGGCAGCGCCUUAGCGAUCGAUACACCAACUCCAGAAGGUUAUUGAUCCCGCGGGGGCACGAUCAACCUGACCACGAAGAUCUUUGUUCCUGCAAGCAAUCGAAGAACAAGCAAGAACAAGAUGAAAAGCAAUCUGAAAUUGCGAAUAGGAGAUAUGAAGGUUCACGAAUCUGAAUACUCAAUAUAGUUGGAGUCUUGAUGACGGUAAAACAGGUGGUCUAACCGACACACGCGAUUACACGAAAGUAGCAAAGGCUAAACUUUAUCUAAUCAAAACCCAAGGCUCCAUAGGGGGGCUCAUGGGGUAUAAAUAGGAGGGGAACUAGGUGGUUUUCGGCCAGGCCCUUGUGGGAGUCCGAAACGGCCUAGGAAUCCUCCUAAAACACAACGAAAACAUCUAAAAAUUGGCUGGACCCUAUUACAUGGCCUUAGGCCCAAUAAAACAAGGUUAUAACCCUCAUCUUUGGCCCAUAGAUACCCAUUGGAGGGGGAAUCCUCCACUUGGCCGAAAUCCCAUUGAUGAAGAGGAUGCGGCCUUCUUCUCAUCUCUUUAUGGCGGUUUCAAUGUUCUGAAAUCAACACUUGAGCUACCUCCCACCACCUUGCUGCCACCUCCAUGGUUUGCUGUCCAACGCUGAUCCUUGAGGUCCAAGCUAGGUCCUUCAUUCCUAAAACACAUAAAAGAACCCAUCUUAGGCAGCAGCAUAUUCUCAUUAAUAUUAAAUGAAGUACUGAGGAACGAAAGUACCUGAUAAUUUAGUUGUCGUGCACGAGCUCUAGUAAUUGGUCCAUGUAUCUCCGGUACUUGAGGUGUAGGUGCUGUAGGGGCUGUGGUUGUAUCAUUAGUUGGGAUGUCCUCAUCACCGGGACCAGUUCCCGCCGCGGAGCUGGCGGCCGCCGCCGAGGCCCUCGCGGCCCCUGUUGCCGCAGAUGAGAAAAUCUUUCAAACCGUUUGUCCAAAAAUUGUGAUCCGCACCUUUCUGGAAUCGUCUCAACGUUUAGAAUAUUUUGGCACUGUUUAAUUUCAGUUUUGAACAACUUAGACAGAAGCUAUUUACAGAAUGGUUGAAUAUGGUUUAAAUUUCAAAUGAAUUGUUUCAAAAUAGUUUUGAGCAUGUUAUCUUACUGUAAAAUUAUUUAAACUUGUUCUCUGUCCAUUAGGACCAGAAAAUAAAUUAUUUUGUGUAUAAUCAUGCCAUACAAGUUAAAUAUUGCUCUAUGUUGCAAAAGCCGCACAAUCUUUUUUAUAAACCCUAUCCAUGUAUCAUGCAUAUUAAUUACCACUUUGAUGUGGUAUAUUCUGUCCAAGGCAGUUGAAAAGCUUUUCAAGACAGAAACGAAACUUUUUACUUUAGAAGUAACCUUUGUGUGCAUCAUCAUAGCAUAUGCAUCAUGGCAUGAUUUUGUAUUGAAUGUGGUGUUUAUUGUGUGUGUUUCUUUUAUUUUAGAUUUUGUGGAGUGUAAUCAUUAUUGUUGCGAAGAGUGCGAGAACUACCACAACCUUGGACAAGGCAAGUUCACUUUGAUCAUUCUCCUAAAUAUUCUUACUAUGCACUAGAUGUUUUAUUAGUUGCAUCAAGAAUAUUACUCGUACUUCUAUGCUAGCUAUAAAUCCCAGGUAGUCUAGUUUACCCUCGCCAUUACCUUGCUACCAAAAUUGCCAUUGAUUGUAGUUGAAUGCUAGGCUAUGGUAGUAUCAUGGGGGAAAUAACUACAUUAUGAUAUUGUUAUGCCUUUGGUGAUAUGAAAUGUUUUUGUUAGAUGUAAGACAAAACAAUUAAUUCAAUGAACCGUACUGGGUGGGCUGCUUUGAAGAUUUUGAGGAUUAGCGGCGUCAGGUCCAUUUCUAUGGGUGCCUCUGAGUCGACUUCCUGUGGAUUCAGGAAUGGAUCGUCCAUGGACAUCUCUCCCGUGGAUUCGAGGAGCGCCUACGUUGCAAAUGUGGAAUGCCACCUGGGGUAACCGAGACUGGACUAGUUUCCUAUUUAGAAGUUUUUAGUACAACCACAAUGCUAUAUGGGCUCUGGCAAGACAAGAGUAAGUUGUAUGAACCUAGACCCGAGGAAUUGUACUGAGGUAGCCGUGUAGGGGGAGCGUGAUUCUCUCGUGGUUUAGGGAAUUACCUCUGAAAAUCUUGUAAUCGAUGUCGUUGCUACUCUACCCUUAGGACAGCAAGGGAUUAACACGUCGAUUUCUUUUGGGGAAUGUGUACAAACUCUCGAGAGCGUCAAAACUAAGUACUUAGCCGUGUCCCCGGCAACGGACAAUUUGAGCAACUAGAUGUGGAGCUGUAAGGAAAGUCUCACUCAUUCCAAUUUCUUAAAUAAAAUGAAUGAUUGAACAGGGUAGGAGCACUUGAUGAAUCCACUUCAAUGUGCUCUAGGAUAAUAGGAGCAUGGGUGUGUCUACCCGGUGUCCAAUAGUGAUAAAAUUCUAUUUGAUUAAAAGAUAGGAUUCAAUAACCAAGCUUUUAUGCAAUAGCCUUGUACCCCACUUUGCCAAAUUAUGCAUAUACUUGGUAGGUUCUGAUAUAACUCCUGGUGAAUCUUGCCAAUACAUUCAAUGUAUUGACCCUAGUGGCUGCAUCGUUUAAUGAUGCAGGAAACUCCGACGUCGAGUAAGAUGUACGUUCUGCUUAUUUGGGUUACGGGCCUACAUUCCAACACGUUCUCACCGUGGUGUUGAUGUGCCCUUGUAUGUUUCGCUUUCCGCUGCUAAACGGUUGUUUUACUUCCAGCUAACCCGUGAGGUUAUGCGAGUUGUAAGUACUUUUAUAUUCUGGAUGAUACGUUGUAAUAUUGAGACCUUUGUUCUAUGAUAUUACAUCUUGAAACCGUGUGUGCUAGUGAGUCGAUCCAGGGACUAGCACUAAAGCACAGAGAUCGAACCCGUGUACGGGGGCGGUCGCUUCAGAUGGUAUCAGAGCAUUGUGUUGCCUGUAGGAACGUGACCCUAGCAUGGAACAGACCUAAAGAGACCAUAGGAUUGUUCUAUGCAUUUCAUACCACUCUAAAUUUGCAUAUUGAGAUACAUGCAUAUUCAUAUACACUUGCAAUCAUACCAAUGUCCAAUGCAUAUGUAGUACUUGUGUUUUACUUCAUCCACUUGCAUCUUCAAAUUUUAUAUGCAUUUAUAUAUACACCUCAUACUACAAUGUCAUGCUUUCCACUAUUACAAUCAUACGUCAUGUUUGCAUAACAUACACCGUAUAUUGUCAUCAUUACAUUUAAGCAUCCACCUACUUGAUCAUGUGACUAAUUCUUUCCCCCCACCAUAAAUCUUGUAGAUGAAUGGUCCACCAAAUUUCGGAGAUGAGCCACCUUUCACACACGUCCAUUACCCGACAGUUGACGACGACAUCCCGUUUGGGAGACAGCUUGCUACUUUGUGCACGACACUGCACCUGGCAGCACCCUGUUUCCGAGGACGUGCUGAGCCGGUGAUGAGGACAUCCCAACUAAUGAUACAACCGCAGCCCCUACAGCACAUACACCUCAAGUACCGGAGAUACAUGGACCAAUUACUAGAGCUCGUGCACGACAACUAAAUUAUCAGGUACUUUCGUUCCUCGGUACUUCAUUUAAUAUUAAUGAGAAUAUGCUGCUGCCUAAGAUGGGUUCUUUUAUGUGUUUUAGGAAUGAAGGACCUAGUUUGAACCUCAAGGAUCAGCGUUGGACAGCAAACCAUGGAGGUGGCAGCAAGGUGGCGGGAGCUAGCUGAAGUGAUGAUUUCAGAACAUUGAAACCGCCAUAACGAGAGAUGAGAAGAAGGCCGCAUCCUCUUCAUCAAUGGGAUUUCGGCCAAGUGGAGGAUUCUCCCUCCAAUGGGUAUCUAUGGGCCAAAGAUGAGGGUUAUAACCUUGCUUUAUUGGGCCUAAGGCCAUGUAAUAGGGUCCAGCCAAUUUUUAGAUGUUUUCGUUCUGUUUUAGGAGGAUUCCUAGGCCGUUUCGGAGUCCCUUAAGGACCUGUCCGAAAACCACCUAGUUCCCCUCCUAUUUAUACCCCAUGAGCCCCCCCAUGGAGCCUUGGGUUUUGAUUAGAUAAAGUUUAGCCUUUGCUACUUUCGUGUAAUCGCGUGUGUCGGUUAGACCACCUGUUUUACCGUCAUCAAGACUCCAACUAUAUUGAGUAUUCAGAUUCGUGAACCUUCAUAUCUCCUAUUCGCAAUUUCAGAUUGUUUUUCAUCUUGUUCUUGCUUGUUCUUCGAUUGCUUGCAGGAACAAAGACCUUCGUGGUCAGGUUGAUCGUGCCCCCGCGGGAUCAAUAACCUUCUGGAGUUGGUGUAUCGAUCGCUAAGGCGCUGCCUCCUAGGUUAUAGUCGGAUCGUCAACGUCACCUCCUACCAAAUCGAUAAUUAGGUAUCUCAUCGAAAGAUCGGGACACCCUCGAGGCUAUCACGUGGUAUCAGAGCUUAAGGUUGCUUGGUGAGAUUUUUCCAGUUUAUCCGUAGUUUAGAUCUGUUUUUACCUAUCGUCCAGAAAAAGCCAAACAAAAAUUAGAAUUAGUUACCUUGUCCUAGAACCAAUCUGAGCCUUGCAAUUUUCACAUUAGUAUUUGCAUUGUUGAAUCUUUGCUGCAUUAAUCGUGUCGAGUUGCUGGAUUAGAUUGGAUCGUUUUUCAGAUUUUUUCUACUAGAUCGAACUUGCUUUUGGUUUUCUUGUUCUUCGUGUGACGCAGGUUUCCUUCAUCAAUCUUCCGCCGCCAAACUUCCUGCCACACCACCGCCAUAAUCUUCCGCCGCCACCAUAUCUUCCACCGAGUCCCUCUUCGAGUCCUACACCGAGUCCUUCUUCCAGUCCUACACCGAGUCCCUCUUCGAGUCCUACACCGAGUCCCUCUUCAAGUCCUACAACGAGUCCUACAUCGAGUCGGCAAGUUAUAGUUUUCAGCCGCGAGUUCGAGUCCGAGUCCAAUCAAGAGUGCUUUUGGAAAGUGUUUCAUAAUAGAUCGAUUUUUGUUUAGAGAUCAAGUUGUUCGGAAAGU